CUNCGGGAGGCAGCAGUGGGGAAUUUUCCGCAAUNGGCGAAAGCCUGACGGAGCAAUNCCGCGUGAGGGAUGAANGCCUAUGGGUUGUAAACCNCUUUUUUCNAGGAGGAAUAAAAUGACGUGUACNUGAAGAAUAAGCAUCGGCUAACUCCGUGCCAGCAGCCGCGGUAAGACGGGGGAUGCAAGUGUUAUCCGGAAUCACUGGGCGUAAAGCGUCUGUAGGUGGUUAAAUAAGUCAACUGUUAAAUCUUGAGGCUCAACCUCAAAAUCGCAGUCGAAACUGUUUGACUAGAGUAUAGUAGGGGUAAAGGGAAUUUCCAGUGGAGCGGUGAAAUGCGUAGAGAUUGGAAAGAACACCAAUGGCGAAGGCACUUUACUGGGC
rnacentral:rRNA from 1 species